rnacentral:rRNA from 1 species
UACAGAGGCCCCAAGCGUUACUGAGAAUCACUGGGUUUAAAGGGUGCGUAGGUGGCGCGUUAAGUCCGUUGUGAAAUCCCUGGGCUCAACCCAGGAAUUGCUUCGGAUACUGGCGUGCUUGAGGCUAGUAGGGGUCACUGGAACUGACGGUGGAGCGGUGAAAUGCGUAGAUAUCGUCAGGAACGCCGAUGGUGAAGACAGGUGACUGGGCUAGUUCUGACACUGAGGCACGAAAGCGUGGGGAGCAAACAGG